rnacentral:rRNA from 1 species
GAUGAACGCUGGCGGCGUGCCUAAUACAUGCAAGUCGAGCGAAUGGAUUAAGAGCUUGCUCUUAUGAAGUUAGCGGCGGACGGGUGAGUAACACGUGGGUAACCUGCCCAUAAGACUGGGAUAACUCCGGGAAACCGGGGCUAAUACCGGAUAACAUUUUGAACCGCAUGGUUCGAAAUUGAAAGGCGGCUUCGGCUGUCACUUAUGGAUGGACCCGCGUCGCAUUAGCUAGUUGGUGAGGUAACGGCUCACCAAGGCAACGAUGCGUAGCCGACCUGAGAGGGUGAUCGGCCACACUGGGACUGGAACACGGCCCAGACUCCUACGGGAGGCAGCGGUAGGGAAUCUUCCGCAAUGGACGAAAGUCUGACGGAGCAACGCCGCGUGAGUGAUGAAGGCUUUCGGGUCGUAAAACUCUGUUGUUAGGGAAGAACAAGUGCUAGUUGAAUAAGCUGGCACCUUGACGGUACCUAACCAGAAAGCCACGGCUAACUGCGUGCCAGCCGCCGCCGUAA